UGGGGUAACGGCCUACCAAGUCGACGAUCAGUAGCCGGACUGAGAGGUUGAACGGCCACAUUGGGACUGAGAUACGGCCCAGACUCCUACGGGAGGCAGCAGUCGGGAAUAUUGCGCAAUGGAGGGAACUCUGACGCAGUGACGCCGCGUAUAGGAAGAAGGUUUUCGGAUUGUAAACUAUUGUCGUUAGGGAAGAGAAAGGACAGUACCUAAGGAGGAAGCUCCGGCUAACUAC
rnacentral:rRNA from 1 species